AUUGAACGCUGGCGGCAUGCCUUACACAUGCAAGUCGAACGGCAGCACGGGUGCUUGCACCUGGUGGCGAGUGGCGAACGGGUGAGUAAUACAUCGGAACAUGUCCUGUAGUGGGGGAUAGCCCGGCGAAAGCCGGAUUAAUACCGCAUACGAUCUACGUAUGAAAGCGGGGGACCUUCGGGCCGCGCGCUAUGGGGUUGGCCGGUGGCUGAUUAGCUAGUUGGUGGGGUAAUGGCCUACCAAGGCGACGAUCAGUAGCUGGUCUGAGAGGAUGACCAGCCACACUGGAACUGAGACACGGCCCAGACUCCUACGGGAGGCAGCAGUGGGGAAUUUUGGACAAUGGGCGAAAGCCUGACGCAGCAACGCCGCGUGUGUGAAGAAGGCCUUCGGGUUGUAAAGCACUGUUGUCCGGAAAGAAAUCCUUGGCCCGAAUACGGGCGGGGGUUGACGGUACCGGAAGAAUAAGCACCGGCUAACUACGUG
rnacentral:rRNA from 1 species